ensembl:lncRNA novel transcript, antisense to BCOR
AGAGCCUCUCUCAACGCCGGCAAGUGCAGCCGGGCCGCCCAGCCCCCAGGCCAGCCUGGCCCCCUCUGGGCCUGGGGUUGGCGAGGGCAGCUGGGCGUCUGCGCUGCCCAGCCCAGCCGCGGAUCCAUGGGGUUUCGCGAGCUGAAAGUAAAGGCUUGAGGGAGUGGGGACACCCACACCGACCCGCGGCACGCAGGGGAGUCAAGCUGCGGCCAAUGCAAGACGAGCAGGGUAGACUACUACUAGCGGUGGCCGGAGGCUCAGCCACCUUCGCGGGAGAGGGGAUUUACCGCCACCCUCAUCCACGCGCAGGCCCCACCGCCCGGUCCUCUCCUCUGAUCCCCGGGCCAUUGCGAAACACGGAGCGAACAGGUCCUCGCCAGCAGCCGUCAUUUCCCGGGAAGAUGGGAACCCACAAGCCUGACUGUGCUUCCUAAGGAUACUAGCGUGCGCGCAGACCUUGGGGGGAAAGAGGGCAGCGCGGUCUCCCCGACCCGGACUCUUCCCUGGCGCAGCACACAACCGCCACGGGCUUCCGAAGCGCCCGAGCGGGGAGGAGGAAGGAAAAGCGGAGGCCCGGGAGGCGGGCUGCGCGCUUGGAAGCCGUGUGUGUUUAUGUGUCUGCGCGCGCGCCCUGGCCGGACGGGUGUUGAGGGGAGAGUGAUCGUGAGCAACCCGGAACCAGCAGUCCCAACCUGGACUGACGAACUGGGCUCUCCAGUCCUGGGCCGUGGGGCUCCAUGCCUCGGGCUGGCGGGACAAGCGGCGGGGAGCCCGGAGCUUCGGAGCCGCCGCCGGGCAUCUAGCCAGCUCCGCGGGAGAAGCCCGGGGGCGCGUCGGGAGCCAGGGGACUGGUGUGAACUAGCCGCCCCCGCAGGCGGACGUUUAGCUCCGGCACCCGGGAGCACUGACACUGGGCGAUAAGGAGUUCCUCGGCAAUCGGCUGUCCCCAGUCCCCAGUCACCUCCGGCGGACGUGACCGCCGGAUGCUAUGCAGCUAGGUGGGCCAGGGGGGCCUUUGCAUUGCCUUCCCUGACCCCUUCCUUGCCGCGGAGGAGCCACAGUAAGAUGCCUCUGUACGACUCUCCAGAACUUUCUUUUGCAAAAUAAAGGCCAAAUGUUGGGCCUUCUA